UGAGGCAACACACCAUCUUGAGCACACUUGAUCUUACCUGAUUUGCGAAGCCAAGCAGGGUCGGACCUGGUUACUACUUGAAUUGUCUCUUAGACUAGGAGAUGCUACAC
rnacentral:rRNA from 1 species